AAGAUUCAACAAAAGACAGAAACAAAUCCACUAUUGGUUUUACGUCAAGCAAUACGUAGAGUAACUCCCAAUAUAGGAGUAAAAACAAGAUCUUUUAGAAGCGCAUACUCCUCCGGGGGGUCGAUUAGGGCGUGGGCAUAA
rnacentral:rRNA from 1 species